GAUGAACGCUGGCGGCGUGCUUAACACAUGCAAGUCGAACGGAGAGCCUAUGACGGAGUUUUCGGACAACUGAUUAGGUUUCUUAGUGGCGGACGGGUGAGUAACGCGUGAGGAACCUGCCUUGGAGUGGGGAAUAACACAGAGAAAUUUGUGCUAAUACCGCAUAAUGCAGUUGGGUCGCAUGGCCCUGACUGCCAAAGAUUUAUCGCUCUAAGAUGGCCUCGCGUCUGAUUAGCUAGUUGGUGGGGUAACGGCCCACCAAGGCGACGAUCAGUAGCCGGACUGAGAGGUUGACCGGCCACAUUGGGACUGAGACACGGCCCAGACUCCUACGGGAGGCAGCAGUGGGGGAAUAUUGGGCAAUGGGCGCAAGCCUGACCCAGCAACGCCGCGUGAAGGAAG
rnacentral:rRNA from 1 species